rnacentral:lncRNA from 1 species
GGGGCAGAGCCGAGUGUCUGAGGACAAGGCGCUGGCUUUGCUAAUCACAUCACAAGACCUUGAGCCUGGGCCAAAGGCGCCGAGUGGCGCGGGGUGUCCGGGGCGGGAAAGCCUAUUCCAGGGGACUAGAGGGAAGUCGGAGGAGCAGUGUGGACAUAGAGGAAGUCACUUCCUUCACCUUUGUGCCUGCUGGUUGGCCUGGCCUCCUCUCGGGGAUGUGGGUGCAGCUCCUAGCCAAGGCUUCCCGCCUGUACAGCCUUGGCCUGUCGAAUCCUGCAACCUUCCUCCUUCUGCUGUGGGAGGCGCGGCAUUGAAUCUAAGCUUUGUGUGAGCUGCCGGAGGCGAGGCGGUGAUUGCUGAACCACCACCCAGGUUGGGGGAAAGAGGUCCUCAUUCGGUUGCCUUUAGUGCAACUCCUACCAGCUUUCCAUGGAAAAAGCAGUCCCAGAAGGCCCCUGGCUCUUUUUGAGAGGGGUCUCACACACACACACCUCCA